AUAAGCCCAGCCCAAAACAGAACGAUUCUUUGCUUGUGUAAUUUUUAAUAAAUAAGACAUUGAUAUGGGCUUAAUGAAAAUAGCUGCAUCUUGAAUUUAGUAAUAUUACCGUAACUUCGAAUCUUGUGGCUUUAGGCAGUAUGCACAGACAAUUUUUCACUGUCUCAGUCAUAAUUUUCAAUGGCAGUUUCAUAACUUUAAAUCACGACUAUCACAGUUUUCAUAAAUAAUCAGGGUAAAACAAUUAAAAUAAUUACGUAAAUGUAAUAGGAUAAGUACUUGCAGAAAAACUGGUCAUAAUUUAGGAUAUAAAGUUAGAGGCCAGGCGCAGUGGCUCAUGCCUGUAAUACCAGCACUCUGGGAGGCCGAGGCAGGUGGAGGGGGUCAAGAGAUUGAGACCAUCCUGGCCAACAUGGUGAAACCCUGUCUCUACUAAAAAUACAAAAAAAAAUU
rnacentral:lncRNA from 10 species